UGAGUACAUUCUGAAGACCUUUUGAAGAGAGUCACAUUGAGAGGAGGAGGGCGGGGACGAGGAGGAAGAACAGGGUUCGGAGACGAGAGAAACGAGUUGUGGAAUGUUUCCUGUUUAGCCCUUGAAACCGGCCAUCUCAUUUGUUAAGGCUUGACCUCAAGCUGCAAUGCCCGUUUGGGUGGCCUGAGGCCACUUCGGAGUGGAUGAAGCAGGGGCCGGGAGACUGACAGCUAGAUGAAUCAGGAGGGUCAGAACACAUACCCUCUCGACAGACACACAGCAGCUAGCUCAGUGGAGGAUAACCGCACCCCAUCCCAGCACGGUAGGACACGAUAUCGGGCCGCUUGGACGAUUUGACAUUAGCCGUCAGCCACAAUCAAG